ensembl:lncRNA
AAUUAGGUCAUACUUUCCCACUUGUGCCAUGGUUUCUAGCUCCUCCUGUUUAUUUACCAUGCUGCACGCAUUGGUAUAGAGGCACUUCAGCUUGGCUAUUGGCCUCGUUGCCUUCUCAGAGGAGCCCUCCCUAAUACCUCCAGGACAAGUCUGGGGUUUUUCCCUACCACCUCCCAAGGUGACACCCUUCCCAUGUGCUUCUCUGUUAUCCAGUACACUCCCUUCCCCCAUCAUAUCUAGUUUAAAGCCCUGCUAACCAGCCCAGCCAGCUUGCUCCCUAGAAUAUUUGUGGGCCUUCUACUCAGUUGGUUCCCAUCCACUGUCAGCAUUCCCCCUUUCUCAAGGCUGCAUCCCAAGCCAUAGUACCCAAAGCCCUGAGUACGACACCAUUUGCAAAGCCAUUUCUUCAGCAUGUCUGCCCUCCUCUUUUUGUCCAGAUCCCAGUCACCAACUGAGGGGACAGAGGAGAACACAGCUUGUGCUCCCGAUCCCUUCAGCAGUUUUCCCAGAGCCCUGAAGUCCCUUUUGGUCACCCAAGAACUUCUUUUGCUUACCUCUUCAUUACCAUUACGGAAAACUAGUAACGAAUAAUAAUCAGAGGGCUUGAUCAGGCGAAUGGUGAUCCUGGCAACAUCUCUCACCCGGGCUCCAGGCAGGCAACACACCUCCCUGUGGGGCAGGUCCAAGCCCUCAGAUCCCCUCAGAAGGGAGUCCCCUGUGGUGACAACCCUUUUUUUCCUGACUGACGUUGUUCUUCCUGACUAGCCCUGGACAACUUCUCCUGCACAGAUGGACUUUCACCAACAUCCACAUCCCCCAGUUCUUGCAGCUCCAGAGCCUCAUACGUGUUAUGUAAGGGUACCUGGGAAGGUGGGACAGGCUGAGGGGCAGCCUGCUUCCUCAUACGUGUUAUGUAAGGGCACCUGGGAAGGUGGGACAGGCUGAGGGGCAGCCUGCUUGCAGCCGUGAACAGGAACUCAUUUCCAUCCCUUGCUGUCUUUGAGGUCACCCCCUCCCACCUGGCAGUGAGAGGGUAGAUGAGCCCCUGCUGCCUGAAGAGCAUCUCCCCCACACCCUUCCUGUAGGGAUGGUAGAGUGCGACUCCACCAAUCAAUCCCCUUCCCACAAUCCCAGGUGCUCCACCAGCCUUUCCACCACUUGUUAUGCUUUCACUCUUUAUGACAAACUACAGCAAAAUCAUUUCCUAUAGUUCAAUCCAACAGCAGAAUUAAUUAAGAAUGUUUGUUUCUUUCCCAGGAGACAAAGAAGGAGAUACAUUUCUUCUCUGAUUUAUUCUUAUUUAAAAACAAUAUGACAAAGCUCUUCAGUACUUAUCUUAAAUAAUGCUGUAUGAGAUUACAAGAGAUGCAAACAGAAUAACACUGCCUUUAUCUCAUGACAAAAUAUCAGAUUCUCAUUAUUCUUCCAGAGAGUUAUGUAAUUUCUUGAUUUUAGUUUGGCUAUCUAUUUCUUGAGCUAGAGUAAGUCAAAUCUGAAAAAUAUGAGUGUAACCAAAAUAGACCAUAGAAUCACAGAAUCACAGAAUACCAUGAGCUCGAAGAGACCCAUGGGGAUGAUCAAGGCCAGCUCCUGGCCACACACAGGGCCACCCUAAAUCCAAACCCAAUGUCUGAAAGUAUUUUCUAAAUGCUCUUUGAACCCCAGCUGUGACCACAGCCCUGAGAAUACUGUUCCAGGGUCCUGCCACUCUCCGAUGAAGAAACUUUUCCUAACAUCCAAUCCCUUUCUAGGAUAGCCAGCAGCUUCAGAGGGCUGACAAAGGGUGACUACUUUUCUCUGCAGUCUGUGAGCUCACUGGAAAACAGAUUGGGUUACUGAGUAUUCAGCACCUGACACACUGAUAUAGUUUGCUGAAAACUAGUGUAGCAUGCAUACCAACAUGUAUUGUGUGAAGCAGUUCAAUGAUCUAGUGUAUUUGUUAAGCUUCUGCUAUCAUAUGAAAUAAAAUUUGAUUAUUUUAAGCU